GCCCUUCCCCAUACUCCUUCUCAUUAUAAGAUGAGUCGGGAAAGUUUUUCGCUAAGAGAUCAGUCUAUGUCCUAUCAGCUAGUUGGUGAGGUAAUGGCUCACCAAGGCUAUGACAGGUAUCUGGUUUGAGAGGAUGAUCAGACACACUGGAACUGAGACACGGUCCAGACUCCUACGGGAGGCAGCAGUGAGGAAUAUUGCACAAUGGAGGAAACUCUGAUGCAGCAACGCCGCGUGGAGGAUGACGCAUUUCGGUGUGUAAACUCCUUUUAAGAGGAAAGAUAAUGACGGUACCUCUUGAAUAAGCACCGGCUAACUCCGUGCCAGCAGCCGCGGUAAUACGGAGGGUGCAAGCGUUACUCGGAAUCACUGGGCGUAAAGGGUGCGUAGGCUGGCUUUUAAGUCAGACGUGAAAUCCAAUGGCUCAACCAUUGAACUGCGUUUGAAACUGAGAGCCUAGAGUUCAGAAGGGGCAGAUGGAAUUAGUGGUGUAGGGGUAAAAUCCGUAGAUAUCACUAGGAAUAUCAAAAGCGAAGGCGAUCUGCUGGGAUGAUACUGACGCUGAGGCACGAAAGCGUGGGGAGCAAACAGGAUUAGAUACCCUGGUAGUCCACGCCCUAAACGAUGAAUGCUAGUCGUCGGGGAGCUCGUCUCUUCGGUGAUGCACUUACAGAUUAAGCAUUCCGCCUGGGGAGUACGGUCGCAAGAUUAAAACUCAAAGGAAUAGACGGGGACCCGCACAAGUGGUGGAGCAUGUGGUUUAAUUCGAAGAUACACGAAGAACCUUACCUGGCCUUGACAUGGUAGGAACCCUUAAGAGAUUAGGGGGUGCUAGCUUGCUAGAACCUACACACAGGUGCUGCACGGCUGUCGUCAGCUCGUGUCGUGAGAUGUUGGGUUAAGUCCCGCAACGAGCGCAACCCUCGUCCUUAGUUGCUAACAGUUCGGCUGAGCACUCUAAGGAGACUGCCUUCGUAAGGAGGAGGAAGGUGAGGACGACGUCAAGUCAUCAUGGCCCUUACGGCCAGGGCUACACACGUGCUACAAUGGGGCGUACAGAGAGCUGCAAUACCGCGAGGUGGAGCCAAUCUCUUAAAGCGUCUCUCAGUUCGGAUUGUUCUCUGCAACUCGAGAACAUGAAGCUGGAAUCACUAGUAAUCGCAGAUCAGCUAUGCUGCGGUGAAUACGUUCCCGGGUCUUGUACUCACCGCCCGUCACACCAUGGGAGUUGAUUUCACCCGAAAUCGGGAUGCCAAACUGGCUACCGCUUACGGUGGAAUUAGCGACUGGGGUGAAGUGGUAACAAGGUAACCCAAGGGCGAA
rnacentral:rRNA from 1 species